AUUUGCAUACGCCUCGCAGCAUGCGUCAUUGCACAGGAAUGCUGCGCUCUCUUGAGCAAUGUAGUCGGAGAGUUCGAGAAAUGGCUAGAAAUCAUGAGUGCUAUUUUCUAGGCAAUGGGGAUGGUAUAUAUUCUGGUACAUUCAGUACCAGUACAUUCAGAUUCAAACAUCGACUCAACGAGAAUACUAAAGGGAAAAGAAAGCAAGAAAAGAGAAGAGAUACGUUCAACAGACCUCUACAUUCAUAAACUGCAACUAACUACAAACCAUCAAGAUGUCAUCAGCUAAAGGCCCGUCUAUCGGCAUUGACCUGGGCACCACCUACUCCUGUGUGGGGGUGUUCCAGCAUGGUAAAGUGGAGAUCAUCGCCAACGACCAGGGCAACAGGACCACACCCAGCUAUGUGGCCUUCACAGACACUGAGAGACUUAUCGGAGACGCAGCAAAGAACCAGGUGGCCAUGAACCCCAACAACACCGUUUUCGACGCCAAACGCCUGAUUGGCCGAAAGUUCAACGAUCAGGUCGUGCAAGCCGACAUGAAGCACUGGCCCUUCAAGGUGGUCAGCGACGGAGGAAAGCCUAAAGUUCAGGUCGAUUACAAAGGUGAGAACAAAUGCUUCAACCCAGAGGAGAUCUCCUCCAUGGUCCUGGUGAAGAUGAGGGAGAUCGCUGAGGCUUACCUGGGCCAGAAGGUGUCCAAUGCAGUCAUCACAGUCCCUGCCUACUUCAACGAUUCACAGAGAUAGGCCACUAAGGACGCUGGAGUGAUCGCUGGGCUGAAUGUGCUGAGGAUCAUCAACGAGCCCACGGCGGCAGCCAUCGCCUACGGCAUGGACAAAGGCAUGUCCAGGGAACGCAACGUCCUGAUUUUUGACCUGGGUGGGGAAACCUUUGACGUGUCCAUCCUGACCAUCGAGGAUGGGAUCUUUGAGGUGAAGGCCACAGCUGGAGACACUCACCUGGGCGGGGAGGACUUUGACAACCGCCUGGUCAGUCACUUUGUGGAGGAGUUCAAGAGGAAACACAAGAAGGACAUCAGCCAGAACAAGCGGGCUCUGAGGAGGCUGAGGACAGCCUGCGAGAGGGCCAAGAGAACACUGUCCUCCAGCUCCCAGGCCAGCAUUGAGAUUGACUCUCUUUUUGAGGGCAUCGACUUCUACACCUCCAUCACCAGGGCUCGUUUUGAGGAAAUGUGUUCCGACCUCUUCAGGGGAACCCUGGAGCCUGUGGAGAAAGCCCUCGGGGAUGCCAAGAUGGACAAGGCCCAAAUUCACGACGUCGUCCUGGUCGGAGGCUCCACCCGGAUCCCCAAGGUCCAGAAGCUCCUGCAGGACUUUUUCAACGGCCGAGAGCUAAACAAGAGCAUCAACCCAGACGAGGCGGUGGCCUACGGCGCUGCCAUCCAGGCGGCCAUCUUGUCUGGCGACAAGUCUGAGAACGUCCAGGACCUGCUGCUGCUGGAUGUGGCUCCCCUGUCCCUGGGCAUCGAAACCGCCGGAGGGGUCAUGACCGCCCUGAUCAAACUCAACACCACCAUCCCAUCCAAACAGACCCAGACCUUCACCACUUACUCCGACAACCAGCCCGGGGUCAUGAUCCAGGUCUACGAGGGAGAGAGAGCCAUGACCAAGGACAACAACCUCCUGGGGAAGUUUGAGCUCUCUGGGAUCCCCCCUGCCCCACGAGGAGUCCCUCAGAUCGAGGUGACCUUUGACAUCGACGCCAACGGCAUUCUGAACGUAUCAGCGGUGGACAAGAGCACGGGCAAAGAGAACAAGAUCACCAUCACCAACGACAAGGGCCGGCUCAGCAAAGAGGAUAUUGAGAGGAUGGUGCAGGACGCUGACAAAUACAAAGCUGAGGAUGACGCACAGAGGGAGAAGAUAGCUGCCAAGAACUCCCUGGAGUCGUACGCCUUCAAUAUGAAGAGCAGCGUGGAGGACGACAACAUGAAAGGCAAGAUCAGCCAGGAGGACAAAAAGAAAGUGGUGGACAGGUGCGACCAGACCAUUUCCUGGUUGGAGAACAACCAGCUGGGCGACAAAGAGGAGUAUGAGCAUCAGCUAAAGGAGCUGGAGAAAGUAUGCCAGCCUAUCAUUACCAAGCUGUACCAGCAGGGAGGGAUGCCCACAGGUUGCUGUGGAGAUCAGGCACGGACCAGCUCUGGUGACAGCUCCCAAGGCCCAACCAUUGAAGAGAUUGACUAAAGUGAGGGAUUUUUAUAAAGGACUUUUCAAAAUGCAUUAGUAUCACUGCAUACAAUUUACUAUUCAGGAAAUACUUUGUACUUGUAAAAACACACUGUACAUCUGUUGAUUCAUACCAUAUUGCAUUGCUGGACAUUGCAAAUAAAAUGUAUUUAAAUAUG